rnacentral:rRNA from 1 species
UACAGAGGUCUCAAGCGUUGUUCGGAUUCAUUGGGCGUAAAGGGUGCGUAGGCGGCGUGGUAAGUCGGGUGUGAAAUCUCGGAGCUUAACUCCGAAACUGCAUUCGAUACUGCCGUGCUUGAGGACUGGAGAGGAGACUGGAAUUUACGGUGUAGCGGUGAAAUGCGUAGAUAUCGUAAGGAAGACCAGUGGCGAAGGCGGCUUACUGGCCCAUUACUGACGCUGAGGCUCGAAAGCGUGGGGAGCAAACAGG